rnacentral:rRNA from 1 species
GUUUGUUUUUGAGACUGAAUACACCUGAUCUCAUCUGAUCUGCAAAGCUAAGCAGGGUUGGGCCUGGUUAGUAUUUGGAUGGGAGACUACCUGGGAAUACCAGGUGCUGUAAGCG